AAUCUGUUUAAGAUCAUUGACAGGCCUGAGAGUUUUCCAUAUGGCCUGCACCCUAACCUCUGGGAAGAAAAUAUCCACAACGUAAUUUCUACAAGAUUAGAGGAAGAAGAGAGGCAACGGGGAUUCCAUUUCUACUAGGAGUAUCAACCUCUGAGAGGGAUAUAUCCAUCUCUGUGGAUGUCAUCUGCUCUGCAGAAAACCUUUUCUUGGAACUCCCAGAUUUGAUAAAUGGUUGGUCCUCAUGAUCCACUGAUGCAGACUACUUGGGAGGUCCCAAUGUCCUGGUGCCCAAAGGCAAGAUCAUUUUUCCCCCUGCAGUGUUUCUGUCUGUCAUGAUGAUGUGAGUGGGCUCUUAUUGGGGGUGCCUAAUGCUGCAAUAAAGAAAGAGUUUUCUUG